rnacentral:rRNA from 1 species
UACGGGGGGGGCAAGCGUUGUUCGGAAUUACUGGGCGUAAAGGGCUCGUAGGUGGCCAACUAAGUCAGACGUGAAAUCCCUCGGCUUAACCGGGGAACUGCGUCUGAUACUGGAUGGCUUGAGUUCGGGAGAGGGAUGCGGAAUUCCAGGUGUAGCGGUGAAAUGCGUAGAUAUCUGGAGGAACACUGGUGGCGAAGGCGGCAUCCUGGACCGACACUGACGCUGAGGAGCGAAAGCCAGGGGAGCAAACGGG